rnacentral:rRNA from 1 species
CCUACGGGAGGCAGCAGUGGGGAAUAUUGGGCAAUGGGCGCAAGCCUGACCCAGCAACGCCGCGUGAAGGAUGAAGGUUUUCGGAUUGUAAACUUCUGUCGCGAGGGACGAAGAAUGACGGUACCUCGUAAGAAAGCCCCGGCUAACUACGUGCCAGCAGCCGCGGUAAUACGUAGGGGGCAAGCGUUGUCCGGAAUGACUGGGCGUAAAGGGAGUGUAGGCGGCCUUGUAAGUUAGAUGUGAAAUCCUACGGCUUAACCGUAGAACUGCAUCUAAAACUGUGAGGCUGGAGUGCAGGAGAGGUGAGUGGAAUUCCUAGUGUAGCGGUGGAAUGCGUAGAUAUCACGAAGAACUCCGAUUGCGAAGGCAGCUUACUAAACUGCCACUGACAUUGAUGCUCGAAAGUGUGGGUAUCAAACAGGAUUAGAUACCCGUGUAGUC